rnacentral:lncRNA from 1 species
AAAUACUCUUAGACUAGUGCUUUUUGUCUUUCAUCAAUAGUAGUAAUACUAGUAUGACAAACAGGAAAUAAAUUAUCUCAGGUAAACAAAAAUGUAUGUUCUAAAAUCAAUUUACUUAUAUGUAUUGUGCAUGAAUUGACUUGAUAAAUUGUGAAAUGAAAUGGCAAUUUUGAUUUUAAUUGUUUACAAUUGUAAACAAAAAAGAACAGAGCUAUUAUCACUUUUUGUCUUAUAUUUCUAAGAUUAGAUCAUAUGGAUAAAAUCCCCAAAAAAGAAAUGAAAGAACAUAAAAUCAUAUAAUAUAUCAGCUAACUUUAAGAUGAUCCUUAAUUCGUCAUAAUUGUGUCCAUAAACGUAAGCAAAAUAGAUUUUGCCAAAAAAUCUUAAGUUGUGUGAAAGGGCAAUGAUAGAGCAACUUAGGUUAAAUGAAAUUUUUAUAUGAUUCUUUUCAAGACUGAUGUAUGUAACCUCUUUCAAAAACGGACCCAUAGUACUUAAAAUAGAAAUUGGACCAAACCAAUUCUGAUAAGUUAUUAGCACUUCCAAUUAGUUGCAUUAGAUGAUAUGUUUACUUUAUACUUGUCAAGAUCAAAAGUAAACAAAUCUGAUCAUAUUAUUUAUAAGGAGAAUUUAUGUUAGUUAAAAAUGAAAUAAAUAAAUUCAAAAAUUCACAAUUUUUUAUGAAAGAACAUCUGACAAUAAAAAAAAAACACAUCUUAAUUUCAGUUUGUUGUACUGUGUUUCUUCCUUCUUUCCAAUAAUGUGUCUUAACUUUUAUAUUUUUUUCUAUAUAGGUUUUCUGUCCAACAUUAUAUUGCAUCAAAUGGUUUUAUAGCGUUAUAGGGAAGUUUAUAGGUUGAUUUGUAAAUUGUGUCAUGAAAAUACAGAAUUCUGUGGUUCAAGCAAAAUCAAUGAUGAAAAAUGACAUCUAGAGGUCAAUGCAUGUUUUUUUUUUACCUCAGUAUGUAUAUAGGCAUUUAAGAUUGCUUAUGGUUCAAAAUUACCAUUUCAUUUCUUGGAAUAUUUAUGUUAUAUAUGCAAUGAUUUAUACUUUUUUACAAUUAUGUUAUUUCCAACUUUAUACAUAUGUUACCAGUUUUGUUCAUUAAACAU